AAUCGGAUUGUGAGCAGAUGUUACUCUGAAUCCAUUUAUGAGAAGCUAUCUAGUUCUAAAACGAGCAACAAUUCUAUCAAAAGAGAAACGAGUCAACACAAACAUGCUGUCUCAGUGUGAACAGAGGAUUGACAAAGCCUAGAAGUGAGGCCGAUGCAUAGUAACCAGCGUCUCAAAACCAAAUUAGACAGAACAGUCUCCUCUAGAAUUUCUGAUCCUUGAUCUUCAACAACGGAUCCAAUCCAUUCACUAGGAGUUAUUACGGAUGGUUCUACUCUUCCAAUACUUUCACUGGUUCUUUUUCCCAAAAGAGAAUCUGAAUUGGGAAACAGAUUAUUGUUGAAAAUGUUGCAUUUUCGAAAAGGUGCUUCGAUUUAUCUUUGAUUCAAGUCUGUUUAGCCGGAGGCUAGUGCUGAGUGAGAGCCUGCAUUAGUGGUGCAUCCAGGACAAGAACCAUCGUCCUUGUUCAUUUAUUCAAAGUUGUAUUCUGGGACAGAGAUGGGAUGACAAGAAUGAACUGUGUCUGGUCCCUGCCAAAGGACGACCAAAAGUAUUAUUGACAUCAUGAAAAGUCUAAAUCAUACAAAGCAAGGCUGGUCCGGGACGGCAAAUGAGAAAUGGAAUUGCAUAUACUGGGGUUGUUGGUGCUGAGUCGCAGGCUGGCCGUUCCAUUCUCCCGAAGAAAAUGCUUUGGUUUGCAGAGUGCAUCAUCUGAUCACCUGAUUGAUGGAUCAAGCUGAAGAAUCCAUGGGAGAACUCAUUUUUAGUAGCAGCACUGUUUUUGGCUAAAUUUGUAGGAAAUGAACGUUUAGCUGUGUUUUGCGUUCACCUGUAUUCUAUUCUGUAACCAAUAUCCUCUAUAAAGUUUUGAUGAACUUGUAUGUAUAUAUAUAUUAAUCAUUACUAUUGAAUUUUUUGCCAGAAUUGAAAUUUUUUUCAGA